rnacentral:rRNA from 1 species
CCUACGGGCGGCAGCAGUGGGGAAUAUUGCACAAUGGGCGAAAGCCUGAUGCAGCGACGCCGCGUGAGCGAAGAAGUAUUUCGGUAUGUAAAGCUCUAUCAGAAGGGAAGAAAAUGACGGUACCUUACUAAGAAGCUCCGGCUAAAUACGUGCCAGCAGCCGCGGUAAUACGUAUGGAGCAAGCGUUAUCCGGAUUUACUGGGUGUAAAGGGAGUGUAGGCGGCACUAUAAGUCUGAUGUGAAAACCUAAGGCUUAACCAUAGGAUUGCAUUGGAAACUGUAGAGCUGGAGUAUCGGAGAGGCAAGCGGAAUUCCUGGUGUAGUGGUGAAAUACGUAGAUAUCAGGAAGAACAUCGGUGGCGAAGGCGGCUUGCUGGGCGAUAACUGACGCUAAGGCUCGAAAGCGUGGGAAGCGAACAGGAUUAGAUACCCUAGUAGUC